AUGAAAAUAAGUGGAUGGAAAGAAAAAUUGUUAUCCGCUGGAGGAAAGGAAAUAUUGCUCAAAUCUGUUGUACAAGCUAUCCCAGCUUAUGCCGUGUCCGUCUUUAAAAUUUCUAAAAAAAUUGUAAAGGAAUUAUCAACGCGAUGUCGCAAUUUUGGUGGGGUGACGAGGACAACAAGAAGAAAAUGCAUUGGAUGGCAUGGUGGAAGAUGUGUGUACCAAAAAAUCAAGGAGGUAUGGGUUUUAGAGAUAUACAUUGUUUCAAUCUGGCUUUGUUAG
rnacentral:rRNA from 1 species